GGGUGUACUUCUUCACACACGCUCUCGCCACUUAUCGCCCUGUACACGUCAUGUACCUCGACAACCUUCAAGCGGAAGCCGGGCGAGGGAGUUGGCCACGACCUACCUAAACACUCAAGUCUCUCGUCCAGGUUUAUCGCCUAUUCGGGUUCCAUCCGCAAGGAGAUCCGGCCGGGGUGUCGCUCACGGCCCCAAACGAUGUGUGCAGGGUUCCCGAGCCCACCAUCCGGGUGCCACUCGGUACACCAGGCCACGUGUGCCUAGUCUGUCCCAAGCCCACCCUGUCGGGUGCCACUUGGUAGAAAAAUAGCACUACCUACAAACACCAGAAACUAGUUGCAACUCCUGGACAGAGAAUAAGGGUGAUUAAGAAGCCGAGAGGGGCACUUAAGCAUUCCAAUGCGUGGUAGUAACUGUUCAUGGAUCACAGACACAGAACUCAGUUCCUGAGGACGGCUGCAAUGAGACAACCCACCAUGUACUCCUACAUGGCCUCUCACCGCUACCUUUACCAAAUCGUAUUCACACGCUUAGCUCUCAACAGUAGGACAUGUUCACACACCUCUGACUCAUCCCCGAUGAAUCAGACCUGACUCAACUCUAAGCAAUAGCAGGCAUGACAAACAAGCACGGAUGAGUAGGCACAUCAGGGCUCAAACAACUCCUACUCAUGCUAGUGGGUUUCAUCUAUUUACUGUGGAAUGACAGGUCAUGCAAAGGAUAAAGGGGUUCAGCUACCGCAGCAAGUAACAGAUGAAUCGUUGUUGUCCUAAUGCAGUAAAAGAGAGCAGGAGCGAGAGAGUGGGAUUGUAUCGGAAUGAACAAGGGGGUUUUGCUUGCCUGGCACUUCUGAAGAUAAUAUAGUUCUUCAUCGGUGUCAUCGAAUUCAUCGUCGGAACCAAGUCUAUCGAGAGGGGACAAAUACCGGCAACACAGAGAAAACACAAUCGAUGCAAUGCAACAAUAUGAUGCAUGAAUAUGACAUGGCAAAAUGAGUGUGUUUUGGCUAAUGCAACUUAGAACAGUUUAAAUGAAGUUGGUUUGAACCAAGGGUUCAAAUUCAAACUUCAUAUGUGAAAGUUUAGAUGCCAUUAUAUGAUUUGUGCUAAACAGCAGCUAUAAGUUUUUCUAACAUGCAUGAAAAUUGUACAGAUGGAUAGAUUGGAUUUUUCUGAUCAUUUUUCAUAUAUAAUUUAUUUCAUUUGGAGUUACAAUUGAAUUUCUAUGAUUUUUUGAAGUUUGGCUAAUUUUCUGGAAUUCCUGAUUUAAAUUAAAUCCAGAAAAUAAAUAAUUGCGACAGCAUUGCGUCACUAUGACGUCAAGAAGUCAACUGCGGCUGACUAGGUCAAACCUGACGUGUGGGGUCCACACGUCAGUGACAGGGGGUUAAACAGGGGUUAGUUUAAUCCCAAUUAAAAGAUUAGUGGCGCUGGGGCCCACUGGUCAGUGUCAGGGGUUAAUUAAGCGGUGAGGUUAGCAGCUAAUCACGCGCCAUGUCAGUCGCCGGAGUUUCGCCGGCGACGACCUCGAGCCACGGCGGAAGUUCGCCGGAACGAGCUGGAGGCCACGGUUUGGCACACGGAGGCCACCGGCGGGUAGCCCGUGCACGGGCGCAUCCAGCCGCGCCCAGGGGAGGCCGUGGGAACGGCGGAGCUCGCUGGAGCAGAGCUUGCGGCGGCGGCCGGAGUCGGGCGUGAGCGGGGAUGCGGCUGCGGUGUGCGAGGGCGAGAACGGAGAGGGGGAGGAGGAGCAGCAGCUCACAGCGAUCCGGAAGAGCAGCUCAGCGGGCUCGGGGACGCGCUGACGGCGGCGUAUGGUCGCCGGAGAUCUUCACGGCCGUGGGUUGAAGAAGGCGGCGGUGACGGCUCCACGGGGCGUCCGGCGUCUUGUGGCUUGACGGAGAGGACGAGGGAGUCAUGGCGGAGCUCGUGGACUCUACGGAGGGCCGAGGGGACGGCAGGGAGCGCGUCAGCGGUGAGCUGCGGCGGCGGCAGCGCUUCGGGCGCGGGGAAAAGGAGAGGUCCAGGGGAGGAGGGAGAGCGAGAGAGAGUGGGAGAGGACCGGGGCGGCGUGUGGCGACGUUCGGGACGAUCCAGGUGAUGAGAGGGAGAAGCAGGAGGUGGCCACGGCAAGUGCUCGCGCGUCGACACGCCUCUGCCUACUGGCAGAGGUUGAGGACGACCGCCUCGCGCUGGUGGGCUGGGCCACCUGCUGGGCCGCUGGGCCAGGCCAGGAUGCACGGGGGCUGCAAGGAGGUAAGCGCCAGGUAAGUCUCUUCUCCCUUUUAUUUUUAUUUUUCUAUUUUCUAACAUUUGUUUGGUUUAAUAAAAUACUAAACCAUUUUAUUUUCUUAUGCCAAUUUUUGUAGGAACUAGUGGUAUUAUUCCAGAGCUCCCCAACAAGUGGCACAAUUUUUGGACAUAUAUUAUAUAUAUAACAUAUAUAUAUAUCCAAUGCAAAUAAUUAUGCAUUAAUUCCAAUGGCCAAAAAUAAUUACUUCUGAGCUCCCAAAAAUAUUGGUUGGAAUUUUACCUCUGACCAAUAUUUUUAGAGAAAAACAGGAACAUUUACUUGGGCCAAAUUGAAGCAAUUUUUAUCUGAGUCAUUUCCAGAAAUGAUUAUGAGGGUUUCACAAAUCCUCAUUUCAAACUUAAAUGGAAUUUAAACAUGAUGCACACAUGACUAGCUAGUCUAGGUCAUACCAGAACUAGGGAUGUGACAACUCGCCCCCACUUAACAAGAAUCUCGUCCCGAGAUUCAAGCGUAGGAUAAGAUGAAAGGGAAGCGCAAACUAAUAUAAUCUUCACGAUCCAGGUUGCACUUCAAAUGAACGUUGAUUCGUUCACCAUCAUUGUCUCGAAGUCUUGCUCUGAGAACUCCAUCCCACAUGACAACAAGUAGAAAGGAAGAAUUUUAGAGGAAUCGAUCUUCCUGAGAUUCGAGCAACUUAGGAUCAUAUUAAUGAUCACAAGAUCAAUUCACGGAAUGAGACAUAGAAACAUUUGUGGAGUUGAGAGUCAAAACAUGCAUCAAGAGGGACGGAGGAAGCAAUUUGACGAGGGUUCCAAGUAGCGAGGAUAAACUGCCAUGAUUCCAUAACGGGGCACCUUAGGGAAGGUGGCUCGUAGAAUCAUCCCUUAAGUGGCAAAAAGAAUUACCUUUGAUUCAAUGAGGCUCUUUAUACCAGCUUAAGGCAAAUCACAAUCGAUCAUUUGAAGGAGUCCGAAAGAAGGACAUUCUCGGGCCAGAAUGGAUGAUGUGGACUACCUUGUUGAAGACAACACAAGGGAUGAUUUUGCUUAUCAUCGGAAAUGGAUGGGACCCAAGAUAGGAUGGCACAAUGACAGUGCAAGUUGGGAACAAAAUACAAGUGCUGGGAAUGAUUCUAGUAACUGGGGAGAAACUCAAUAGCAGAGAGUGAUUCCACUAUUGAAAUGGUUAUAGCAUAACCGGGGAAACUGAGAACAAUCCCGGUUAGUAACUAUGAUAGCACCUAAUGCUUGUGCGUGCUUUCAAAACUUGAGCAUUUCCAUAUUCAUCAAGGUUUUACCAACAUCCGUGUCAAGGGUGCUGACAACACAACAUACUACCAUGAUGAAUAGCGAUGGACGAUGCAGAUGCAAAGGAAGAUAACACUUCCUCAGAUUUCACCUUAGCGAGCCCAAGGGGACAUAAUCUGGAUGAUUGACCGAGAGACAUUUAGCACUCCGCUUCUAAUGUUCUCCUUGAUGUGCUGGUGUAUCCCAUUCAUAGAUAUGGUUUGAUAUCUAGAACAUCAGGUAAAAGGUCGGACUUCGGGAACACAAAAAUCAUAAGGCACAACUAGGGAGUAAAUCCUACGAAGUCCUUAUGGGAAGGUGGCCAACUUCUUCAAUCAAGAUACUACAAUAAUAGGUCUUCCGGCGGGGUGUGUUGGCCACGAUAUCCAUUUUACCGGUUAUCAUGAGACCAAUAUUAUAGUUCUUGGGAAAUGUUCCAACCAUCAUAUCUGCCUGAGAUUCAGAUCUGGUUGGUGUCAGAAUAAUCCAGACUCAUCGGGUCUGGAAAGAAAAAUGAAAGUUUGCAACACAAAUCGACGAGAUGACGUUUCGAGAUUCUCGGGAAAUGAACUACGAUAGCAAGCUCCAAAACAUGAGCUGGUUCUGCUACAAACAUGUGAACACGUUGUCCCAGACAAACAUGAUCCCAUGAUAGUCUUACAAUAAAACACUAGCGAGUUCCGGUGGGGAACCAUCAUCGAGGAUAACGAAAUCUUGUACAAAUCCGUCUGGUACCUUCAGGACUAGUACUUAGAACUUAUUAUCCUUGAACAAAUCAACCAGUGGCUUGGUGUGCUAGGAAUACGAAUGGGGUGGAGGUAAUUAAUCUACCAAACCAUGGAAUACUUUGCACGUAUGCAUGACUGAUUUGGGAUGAUUCCCGGGGAACAAAAACAAUCUUUCUCGAACUCACGGCGGCAACUUGCACCAAGUACCGUGAAUUAGAGGAAGUCACUUCUUUCACCCAACAUAGACUUCAUGAACGGAAUAUGAAGAUAAUGCUUAUAGAAGUUUCCAACACUAGCUUAAUGUUCAACAAAAUCAUGGAGGAGAUAAGGAUGUUGUCGAUGGGAUCAACAACAAUUUAUCCAGAUUCCCAUGGAGAUGGAAUUCCAUAACUAUGUGGACAAGGUGAUAGUAUUGGUCAGACCCAAAAGAUAUAAUGGUGUAUGCCCGAGGAAAAUCCACGAGUAAGACAACAUUACGAACAUCGUUGGUUCUGAUUUGAUUUGAUGAUAGCUCAAACUCAAAUCAAGGGUUUGGGGUAAGACAAUAAAUCCAACAAUGGACUACGAGGAUCAAUCAAUGAAGAUAUCAUCUUUCUUCAACACACACACACACACACAAAGAUAUCCCUUUGGAAUGAACUGAGUCGGACAAGAUUUCAUCUUCCAACUCUCCAAGUUGUUGUUUAGCUUAACCAACCAGCUCAGGGGUAUCCAACACGGCUUCUUGGAGAAAGGGUGGUUUCAAAAACCAACUUGAUCACGAGCUCAACAUAGCGGUCAGGUGACAUCCUGGUGAUACCUCCGAGAAGACAUUCGGAGAAUCACGAACCACCGAUAUGUUACUAAGCUCGAGAACAACCUUGCUUUUCAGGGCAAGACGAUAUGACCAGAAGAGCGAGGGAUUGCCAAAAUCCUAACUCAUUGAUCGAAGGGUGCACCAGGAAAUAAGGACUAGGUAGCACCAUCAGUCUUAGAAUGAUGAUUCAAGAACCAACACACUAAGAAUGAAAUUAUUGUCCAUUAACUACCAAGCAACACAGUUGCUAGGAGUAUUGAGUUCACACACCAUGAUUCACUUGUCGGCAUUCCGGUUACAAUAACAUGGAAACCGAGGAAUGAACAAUGAUGGCAAGAAGUAUCACUGUAUCAAGAGUUCAUAGGAUGGUGUGCAAUUCCCAUGACAUUCUUGAUAUAAAGAUGGUAAUACUCCAAGGUAGAACAGAGCAAAAGCUGGAUUGGCAAUUGAUCUGCAGAACACGACUACUUUGACCACUCCAAGAAAUGGAUAAGGUGCUGGAGUUUGUUUCUCCUAGUCAUUCCGGAAUAGAAUGGCUUGACGGACCACAAAAGUAAUAGGUAUCGAUGAACGAAUGCACGCAUACUCUUGACUAUCAAAUGAUAGACGGGGGUCAGAAUACAGCUAAAGAGAACAACUCAAAGGAACAUAUAAUUUUCUGAGUUGUGGAUGCAUAGAUUAGUAUGUCGAGCGAAGCUCAACAUUUCUUCCGGAUAACCCAUGCGGAAAGGUAGAACUGGCAGAUUCACAAUAUAGAAUGGAGGACUCAUCAUGAGUACCCUGGUUGUGAUCUUUUGAUCCAACAAACUUCUGCCAUAAGUGGUUCAUAGUAUUUGGAAGAAGGAAAUACCACGGACCUCGAGGACUAAUGCAAAGGUUACUAAUAACCUAAAGGAACUAGCAACACUAUCAACACGAGGUAAGUGGAGUGAAUCUUGGGUCAAGAACCCAGGAGUAGAAUACCUACUACUAAAUGGCAUCACGGGAUGCUUUCGAGAAGAAAGGCCAGAAUCAUCACACUGGGAUACAAAUCAUGGCUAGAUUACUAGAUGAUCCCAUAAGACACCUAGGGUCAUAAUAAUAGUUCCAACAUAUAUGUCAAGGCAAUAGAAUACCUCAACUCAGCAAUUAGUGUGAUUAACCUGGCCCAAAGGAACAUCAAAACCAGAAGGAAAGGAUUUGCAAGUGCAUCAGAUUGUUUAGAAACCUGGGAUGACUCGGACAGCAUAACGGCUGUAAAUGCUCAAAAGAUUGGAGACAUGCUACAAAAUGGUGGCAUAGCCACUCCGAAGCACAAUAUCAAGGUUUCGAGAUCAAUAGUUAUGAACAUACGGAAGUAGUAAAAUUGAGCUGAGAUUUGAAACUAACAAUUCUAUAAGUCUAUGGAUUUGUAACACGUCAUCCUAAUAGAUAGAUGAGAAGGCCUAGUUCUUAAUCCCCAUAGAAGAGAAGAGGAUGACUCAGAUCAGAAGGCCAUGAGGUAUAAGGAGUAAAAAGAGCCUUACGUUCCCUCCCACAAUCAAUUCCCUUACAUAACCAAAGCAUUUCUAGACUCAACUUCGACCAGUUUGGCUUGGUAAUCCUACAGGCAGUCAGGCUCUGAUACCAAAGCUGUCAGGACCCCGACUCAAUGCCACAUCGAUCUAGUAUGUAACACCUCAUAUCACUUUGCGGCCUCACGCACGGUAUUCCCACAGGUGUCGCCUUACCUUUGCCCGGGACCGUUUGCGCCUUUUGGCACACGUAUAUGAUAGUGUUGCUAGCAUCCAUAUGAUAAGGAGCCCGGGCUGACAUGGCUAGUCGUAAACCCAAAGUGGCACAAACCUACAGGGACAGGCAUUCAUGACCCAGCAUCGAACGUGUCGGUCAUCAGCGAGUGAAUCCAGGCUGUAGCACUGGGCUAGCAGGACUCCGGUGAACCGGGCUGUAGCGGGCUAGCAGGACUCUGGUAUUCAUCGCGUGACAUUUCCCCGAAGGGACAGACAUAGGAACGAAGAAGGACACAUGCCGGCCAGCCUAAGUGUUCCGGAGCAGUAGCAAGCUACCAUGGCUCGGUAGAAACACUAGGAGACAUUUCCCGGUAAGAGAGGCUACUAAAGAUAAACAACUAGAUAGUCAGAUCCCACACAUACCAAGCAUUUCAAUAACAUAAACACAAUAUGCUCGAUAUGUGCAAAUACAACAUGGAAUCACAACAUGACUCUACGACUCAAGUAUUUUAUUCAAUAGGCUCCGAGGAGCGAGAUAUUACAAACAUGGGUCUCAUGACCCAACAUCCAGAGCAUACAAGUCAAAGCACAAGCGGAAGCUUAACAUGUCUGAGUACAGACACCUACCGAUGAAAAAGGCUGAGAAGCCUGACUAUCUACCAGAUCCUACCGAGGCCACAAGAUCGUAGCUGAGGUAACAAGCUAAACGUCGAAGUCCACGCGGAACUACUAGCGAGACUGAAGUCUCUCUACAAAAACGUAAAAUAGGCAAACGUGAGUACAAAUGUACCCAGCAAGACUUACAUCAGAACUAACUACAUAUGCAUCAUUAUCAACAAAGGGGGUGGUGGAGUUUAACUGCAGCAAGCCAGCUUUGACUCGGUGGCUAACCUGAACUACGACUGCAAGUAACUCUUUGAGGUGGCGCACACGAGUCCACAUAUUCACCAUAUCAAUACACCACUAUGGAUCCGCUCCCGUCUCCCUAUGAGAACGCCAUCCAUAGCACUCCCGCUUAUCUUGCAUAUUUUAGAGUAUCCACUUUCACUUGUCUAUGAACUAUGCAAGGGGUCCAAGUUUCCAUAUCCGAGGAAUCCGGCUAUUCGAAUAGAUAAUGAUAACCCUGCAGGGGUGUACUUCUUCACACACGCUCUCGCCACUUAUCGCCCUGUACACGUCAUGUACCUCGGCAACCUUCAAGCGGAAGCCGGGCGAGGGAGUCGGCCACGACCUACCUAAACACUCAAGUCUCUCGUCCAGGUUUAUCGCCUAUUCGGGUUCCAUCCGCAAGGAGAUCCGGCCGGGGUGUCGCUCACGGCCCCAAACGAUGUGUGCAGGGUUCCCGAGCCCACCAUCCGGG
rnacentral:lncRNA from 1 species